GGCGCCCGUGGACGGGGGCGCCUGGUGGGCGGGGCGCCGGUGGGCGGGGCUCCCGCGGCCCCGGGUAGCAUCAUGGCUACCCGAUGGAGGCCUCGAACUUAGGUCCGCGGUCUGGGCCGGGCUGCUGUUCCAGGGUCUGUCUGACCAAAAGGAGGCGAAGUCCAGAAAGCUUCUCUUGAGUGACUGUCUCAUCUGAGAAAACUGGGCUUACCAUCCCAUCCAGACCUCCAAGAGCAAGGGAGGAAGGAGAAGUUGACAUUCAGAACGAAGUGGCUUUGCUCAAAUAAUUAAAAGACGGAAAGCUGCUUCCUGACUGCAUGGAAAUAGGACGUUUUUCCACACUGUCAAAAUACAGUAGAAGCUAGAAAGCCUCCUGGACUUUCCCUUCUCCCAUUCCUUCCUCCGUUGGGAUUCCCACCGCCGGUCUGGUGGCCGGUCCUCUCCCAGCCUGCCGCCUUCUCUCCUCGGCUGCAAUCACGAGCUCCAUGCUCUGACCCUCCUGCAGAUCGCCCUCAGCAGCCCUGAGGUCACCGACAGGCCCCAAACCGCGGUGUGGAUGGCCCGGCCCACACCGGUCUCCGCCCCACCCCCGGGUCCCCCUGCCUCCGGGUACCCUCUCCCCCAGGAAAGGGUCCCCGCGUCCACCGAGCCCCUCGAAUGGGAAGGCUGGACUUUGUGAGCGCCAAAGAAUUGAUGCUUUUGAACUGUGGUGUUGGAGAAGACUCUUGAGAGUCCCUUGGACUGCAAGGAGAUCCAACCAGUCCAUUCUGAAGGAGAUCAGCCCUGGGAUUUCUUUGGAAGGAAUGAUGCUAAAGCUGAAGCUCCAGUACUUUGGCCACCUCAUGUGAAGAGUUGACUCAUUGGAAAAGACUCUGAUGCUGGGAGGGAUUGGGGGCAGGAGGAGAAGGGGUCAACAGAGGCUGGAUGGCAUCACUGACUCGAUGGACGUGAGUCUGAGUGAACUAGGUCUGGCGUGCUGCGAUUCAUGGGGUCGCAAAGAGUCAGACACGACUGAGCGACUGAACUGGACUGGACUGGACUGGACUUUGUAAACCGCAAGUUGAUCAGCACUUAAAAAUCUUCCCUUGCCUUCCUAGUACCUUCCGCAUAACCCAAACCCUCCCCUAGGACAUCUGAGGCUUCAGCACUUGCUCCCAGGAGCCUCAUCUUUCCCCACCUGCUGUCUCUCACCUUCCCUUCCUGGUGUGCCGGACCCCCUGGAGCCCAGCGUUCUCUUUCACUUUACCCAUCAGCAGCGCAGACUAGACCCUUCAGCACUCAACCAGGCAACAGCUGGUCCGGAAGGCCAGCCCAAGGCAGCCAAGCAACACUGGGACCCUUACACAUCAUACAGGACUGACUUGGGUGUGCCAGCCUCCCCUGAUCAGACGUCUUGAGGGCACGGAACUGUGCUUACCCAUUUCUGAAAACCUAGUGCCCUCCAGAGUGGUGGUUGUAUCCACUAGAGAAGCUGUGAGCAAGAUGACAAUGGAGAAUUUUUGCAGUGUCUCAUGUGCCGGGCACAACAUGGAUGUUGUUGCCUGUAUUGUUAUAUUUAAUCCUAAUUUUGACCAUGUAAAGAUAUCUUCAAUACUUAUCUGACACAUGAAGAAAAUAAAGAUCAACAAAGUUCAAUGAUGGAAGGUCAUUGCGGUGGAAGCGGUAAGGUGACUUCUGAAUCCCCUCCAGCAGAGGACUGCCGGGCUCGCCUCCUCGCCGCGUUGCCUGUGGCUCUCCUCACCCCAGGACCGCGCCCUCUGGCUGGCAGCCGCACCCCGAGUGAGCACCACGGGGUCGCCCGCACUCAGGCGCCGCUUCCUGGUGCCCUCGUGGAGUCAGCAAGGCCUCCCGUGAGACCGCACUGCCUCUCAGCUCUCUGUCUAAUCCCUCCCUGGGGCACUGAUGCCAAAGCCAGCCUUAAUCAGCUUCCUGUUUUCCUUUCUGUCUCAGAGUCAGCUUCCCAGGGAGCCUCGCCAGGAGGAGUCUGGCAGCCAGUAGCUGGUGGAGCCCGGGGACCAGACGAGCGGCCCGCCUCAGCGCUCUGCUUGUGCUCCCCUGGACUGCACCCCCUCCGGUGAUGAACAGGCCUUUCUUUCCUCUGUAUCCCCGGGACUCAGCACAGGCGCUCAGCAAGUACCUGCCCGCCAUCCUUCGCUCUGUGGUCUGGCUCGGGUGCUUAGGCUCACUUGUUGACAGCUCUCGCCCCCGGAAUCCUCACAAUGAAGUCUGCUGCCUCGAGGGGCCAGGCAAACGAUCUUCUAAACUCAGGACGUCGGAUCAGGUCAGGAGUGGUCAAUUUAGUUGCUUCGAGCAAUACCCAAACCCUCUAAUGUUAGACUUUGUUUUCUUUAUCAAUGUUUUCAGAAACUCAAACAUUUCACAAUUCCAUUUCUCCUGCUUAAAUAACAAGGCUGAUCCAAGUCUUAUUGAUGGUAUUAACUAAAUAUCUUUAAAGGGUUGAGAACAGAAUGUUUUAAGAGAAGGGGAAGUCCCGAGCGCUGGCCCUGGGCCUGAGGGCGUGCGCUCACUCGCGUCCCGUUGUGCGCGUUGUAACCUGUAACCGGCGCUGGGGGACUUCAGGCGCCGCAGUCGUCAGAAGCCGCAGAGGCGGCUCCGUGCCCCAGAUCCUGCCCGCAGGCAUCUUCAGGAAAGAAGUGAGGGCGAAAGCAACUCACAUGCCUUUGAGCCUUCGUUGGAAAACCUGAUCUUGAACUUGUCGAUCUUGACCAAGAACUACAGAAGGGCUACCUUUUCCAGUAGGGACUCAGGGGAGUCAGUGUUUGAGCUAUUAUUGCCUCAGUCUUCUCAGCUAAAGUUUGCGUUCCUUCUCUGCAAAAAGCAUACAUGUUCAUUAAAAUAAAAACUGUCAGAAAAUAAUUAACAUUAGAAAUGCACCAAUCUGGCCCAGUUUCCCAGGAGCUUCUGAUAACAGUUUUAGGCUUAUGUAAUUUUGUUGUUUUGCACUGUCCGAAGUAAAAUAAUCUUGAUCUUGUUGUUCAGUUGCUAAGUCAUGUCUGACUCUCUGGGGACAAAAUAACCUUCCGGGAGAUAUGCUAGGAGGACUCCUGCACCUUUUUUCUCAGUCUGGACCUCUGCUGCCCUCUACAGCCAAGGAAAGACAGACAACGGUCUUUUCUUAGGUUCUACUUGUCUGGAACUUUUUUUUUUUUUUAAGGAUUUUAUGUCCUUGUCAUCUUGUGAGGAAGCACUUGUAUCAGCAGAAAUACAGGGAAGACGUUAAGGAUAUAGGUAUUGAACUAAGUGAAAGCGUUAGUCUGUCAGUUGUAGCCGUCUUUGCAGCCCCGUGGACUGUAGCCUGACAGGUUCCUCUGUCCAUGAGGUUUCCCAGGCAAGAACGCUGGAGUGGGUUGCCAUCCCUUCUCCAGGGGAUCUUCCUGACCCAGGGAUGGAACCCACAUCUCCUACAUUGCAGGAAGAUUCAUUCUUUACCAUCUGAGCCACCAAGGAAACUUGAUUUCAAAUUCUUCAUCCUAAUUAGCAAUUGUAUGACCUCAGAAAGUUGCUUCAUCUUUUUGAGCCACUUUCAGAUUUAUUAAUGACUAUAUAUAUUAAUUAAUUAAUAUCUAAUUCAAAGCCAUGUUUUACAAACUAGCAAAAUACUGAAUAAGACCUUUUGCGCUCAGUUGGCAUAGAAUUAGCACAUGGCAGAUGGUGACAAGUGAUACCUAAAUUGCCUCUGUUGCUUUGAGAAUUGGCAAGAGGAGAAAGAAAGUAAUUAUUAAGCAUUAAUUUUGUACCAGGUACUGUACCAGUUUUACAUAUAUAUUCCCAUUUAAUUCUCAUGAUAAUCCAGUCAAGGAUAUAGUCAAGGAUAUGUCAAGGAUAUAGUCUUCCUAUUAUAUCAAAAAGGUAUUUCAGCCUCAGAGAAGUUAAGAAACUUUCCUAAGGUCACAGAGCUGGACUGUGACCUACCUAAGAGCAGGAUCUGUGUCUUGCUUAAACUCACAAUAAUUAAGUAGUCUUUGGUGCAAGAAUAUAUGAAAAAAUGAAUAAUCUAGGGAAUGCAUAAGGUAAAUAUGAACCUUAUUUCCCAUGCAGUGCAGACUGCAAAUGUCUCACUCAAGGAAACAGGAGUCUUGCUGGAAUGUUAGCAAACCACGUGGACUGUGAUUCUGCUUUUGUAAAAGGCACAGAGAGCGCUGCACACCACUUUGUGCAGGAUAUUUUGUUUUAUACAACAUAUUUUAGUUCCAAGUACUUAAGGAAAUCUGCGUUCAAUUAUUAACUGACCACUAGUGGAACAGAGACUUCACUGGACACACACAGCAGAGACUACAGACCAAAAAAAAUGAGUUCAGAAAAGUAAGCAAGCAAACACGUUCAAGAAACAACAAACACUGCGGGAAGGAUUAUAAUAGUCACAUGUAUGAUAUCAGAAUGCCCUGUUUCCAACAACAGCAAAGUAAUAUGACACACACAAAUAAGACAGUGCGCUCCAACCACAAGGGGGGAGCAGUCAGUAGACACUGUCCCCAAACAAACCAGCUGCUGGGCUUUUAGACAGAUAGUUUAAACUGGCUAUUAAAAAUAUCUUCAAACAGCUAAAACUUCUAAAACACUAGAGGAAAUCAUGAGAAUAGUUUCUCACCAAUAGGAAAUAUCAACGAAGAGAGAGAUUUCAUGAAAAAAGACCUAAAUGGAAAUUCGGAAGUUGAAAAACACAAUAUAAUAACUGAAAUGAAAAUUCACUAGAGGAAAUCAGCAACAAAUGAGCAGGCAGAGAGAAGGAAUCAGUGGACUUGAAGACAGACCAAUUAAGAUUAUCUAGUCUGAAAAGGAAAAAAAUGGGGAAAGAAAUGAACAGAGCAUAAGAGACCUGUGUGAGGCCAGCAAGCAAAGAGACAUGUGUAAUUGGGUGCCCAGGUAAAGAGAAAGAGAGGAAGAGGAAGGGGCAGAAAGAAUAUUUGAAAAAAUAAUGACAAAUACUUCCCAACUUUGAUGAAAGAUAUGAAUCAACAAAUCCAAGAAGCUCAAUGAAACUCAAGUUGGAAAAACUCAAAACCUCUACGCACAUUUUAAUCAAAUUGUCUAAAGACAAUCUUUAAAGUAGCAAGACAGAAGAGACUCAUCACAUAUAAAGAAUCCUCCAUAAGAUUAACAGCUGUUUUCUCAUAAAAAACCAUGGUGCCCAGAAGAAAGUAGCAUAUUCAAAUUUUUAGGAGAAAAAAAUUGUUAUCCAAAAUUUUUAACUAGCAAAACUAUUCUUUAAAAAAAAAUGGAGGAGAAAUUAAGAACUCCCUAAUAAAGAAAAACUGAAAGAAUUCGUUGUUAGUAGACCUGCCUCACAAGACACACUAAAAGGAGACCUUCAAGCAGUAAUGAAAGGACACCAGAGAGGAAUCUGAACCAACACAAAUAAUAAAGAACAGCAGUAAAGGUGCCUGCACAGGCAAAUGUUAGCCAGUGUGAGGAUUUCUACUUGUGACUCCUCUUUUUUCCAUUUUAUUUAAAAGACAAGUGUAAUCACUGUAAGUCUGUGUUUACGGGCACACAUGCCUAAAGAUGGAGUUUAUGCACUGUAAAGGAAGAUGGGAGAUAUAUAGAAGCAAAGCUUUAUAUAAUAUUGAAGUUGUUUGU
ensembl:lncRNA